AGCCACGCGCGGCCGCCCCGCCCGCCGAGCCCUGCGUUAGGUGCGGGGCUGUUGGGGCGACAUGGCGGCCGUGCGGGACGUAGAGAUCGAUCCUGACGGCACGUUCAAGUACAUCCUGGUGCGGCUGCAGCGGCCGGGCGGCGGGGAGCAGCGCGAUAUCGUGCGCGGCACCAAGGCGGCCGAGUUCCACAAUCACAUCUUUGAAAAAGUAAAGCCUGAGAUGGAGAAGCUGGGAUACGAGUGCAAGUGCCUUGGUGGAGGGAAAAUUGAUCAUAAUAGCAAAGAGAAGAAAAUUAGGGUGUUUGGGCUGUCUACAGGCUAUGGAAAAGCAGAUCACUCAGUGACUGUAGAGAUACUGAAAAAAGUGUACACAGAUUAUGAAAUUACGUGGUCAGAUGACAAGAAAUAAAUUGGCUACUUACGCAGGUGACAAGCAAUUCAAAUCUGGAAGCUUUUCGUGAGUUGUGCUUCAACAAAUAAAAUUGAAUGUGUGUGAUUACUGUGUGAUUGUGGCUCUGGCAGUCUUCACUUGAAAGUCCUAACAGAUCUGAUUCUGUAUUUGCAUGAAAACUGAGCUGCUUGAGCAAUCCAAGAAUAAAAGGAGGAUGCUGAACAAAGGAACGUUAUUAAACCUGAGACAGGG